rnacentral:piRNA from 1 species
UGCCUCUAGAAGCAGGACAUAAACUGCAGAA